rnacentral:rRNA from 1 species
CAGUAGGGAAUCUUCCACAAUGGGCGAAAGCCUGAUGGAGCAACGCCGCGUGUGUGAUGAAGGCUUUCGGGUCGUAAAGCACUGUUGUAUGGGAAGAACGUGGGUAAGAGUAACUGUUUACCCAGUGACGGUAUUUAACCAGAAAGCCACGGCUAACUACGUGCCAG